AAGAAAAAGAAAGAAAUGUUUUAAAAGAAAGAAAUCCUGCCACAUGCCACAACACGGACGAGCCUGGAAGGCGUGAUGCUCAGUGAAGUAAGCCAGACACGCAGGAGUUACCGAUUUUCUUUACGUGCAGUGAGCGUCCCAUUACUCACCUCUGUUCACGGACUCCCUGCAUCUAUGGUAACCUUUAUGGUCAUGGUGACCAAGAAUGGGACCUAGUUAGAGCUGCUAUUUUUUGAGCAUUUAUUCUGUGCCAGUCUCAGGGCUAGGCAGUUAACACUUCUCUUUCCAGUCCUCACAGUGGCCCCGCCAGGAGGCAGUGCGCUGUGUGGUUGCAUCCGGGCUCCGGGCCACACCACCUAGGUCCAAACCUAGUUUUUCCAAUUAUUAGCUGUGAAGGCUCCUGACUCGCCCUGGGCCUUAGUUUUCUCAUUUGUACAACAUGGGUAAUAAUAGCACACAAACCAGAGGGGUGCUGUGAGGAUGAAAUGGGUGAACACAUGCUAAGCACUUAAAACACAGCCUGCCAUAUAGUAAGCAAAAAAAAGAUAUUACUUUGUAUCCUAUAUUAGGUAGAAAGAGAAACUGAGUCGGAGAGGUUAAGUAACUUGUCUGUGCCUGUGGCCUGAUGUGUGACAAAAUCCAAUCUCUUCUCGACUAUGACACCAACCAACUGCUUGUUGGUGUCAGAGCUGCGUCAGCAAUGCAGGUCCUUGGUUUCCCUGCGCUCUGAGCCUGCCUUGGGUGAGGUAGGGAGGGCCUCAGGGUCCUCCCUGUAACCUUUCACUGUACAUCCCGUGUUGGCCUUCAGGGGGCGCCAUUGAGCUGUACUCACCAGGCUCUAGGCCCAAAGCCCUCAGCACAAAUUGAAAUUACACACGAUGAAAAGAAAAGCUCCAAGGCUGAAAUCCAAACUGCUAAGACUUUUGUCCUUAUGACAAAACAGCUUCCAAAAAACAAAAUUCCUUCCCUGCAAGAAUGAGAGGAUUUUUCUGAAGUCAAGGUUAUUGCAACGUGUGUUGUUUCUUUUUUGUGUUCAAGGCACGCACUCAGCGUGGAAGAGAGCUGCCCUGCCAGAAAGAGAACACCUCCCAUCCACUAGUUCUGGAAAUCACCUGGCAAAAGUUUUCUCACCAUCUCUAAAUGAAGAAACCUCCAUUUCAGCUGCCCCAGCAUUCUCUUGUGCUCAUCGCUGUUGUAUGCCGAGGGGUAAGGUGAUGUAAAUGUCACCUAACUACCACAGUGGCUGUGUUGACCUUCUAGCUCUUUUGCUGGGAGCCCAGGGGUCUUUCGAUGACUGGACCUUCAACUUUUGCUGAGCAGCAAUGGGGCUGAGGAUCACACUCAGUCAGCGUCAUUCUUCCUUGGCUGUCUCUCCUCAGCCCUGCAGGACUCCCAGGGCCGUGCUGGCUUCUAGAUUUCUCUUUCUGCCAUGAUCUUCAGCCUUUGAUUCAGAGGCAAGUUUUCGGGGUGGGACCUUCAAGAAAAGCCAACGGUGGGUUAGAGACCCUCCCAGGGAUUUGAAGAGACUCCCUGCAGGUGGGCAGCUGUCCAUGGUGGUUGGAAUAAAGGA